rnacentral:tRNA from 1 species
GCCCAGCUGGCUCAGUUGGAAGAGCGCACAGCUCUCGAUCUCGGGGUCAUGAGUUCGAGCCCCAUGUUGGGUG